UACGUAGGGGGCAAGCGUUGUCCGGAUUUAUUGGGCGUAAAGAGCGUGUAGGCGGCCAUGCAGGUCCGUUGUGAAAACUCGAGGCUCAACCUCGAGACGCCGGUGGAAACCGUAUGGCUAGAGUCCGGAAGAGGAGAGUGGAAUUCCUGGUGUAGCGGUGAAAUGCGCAGAUAUCAGGAAGAACACCCGUGGCGAAGGCGGCUCUCUGGGACGGUACUGACGCUGAGACGCGAAAGCGUGGGGAGCGAACAGG
rnacentral:rRNA from 1 species